rnacentral:rRNA from 1 species
UGGGGAACCUGCCCCAUAGUCUGGGAUACCACUUGGAAACAGGUGCUAAUACCGGAUAAGAAAGCGGAUCGCAUGAUCAGCUUUUAAAAGGCGGCGUAAGCUGUCGCUAUGGGAUGGCCCCGCGGUGCAUUAGCUAGUUGGUAAGGUAAAGGCUUACCAAGGCGAUGAUGCAUAGCCGAGUUGAGAGACUGAUCGGCCACAUUGGGACUGAGACACGGCCCAAACUCCUACGGGAGGCAGCAGCC